UAAAUUGAGAGUUUGAUCCUGGCUCAGGACGAACGCUGGCGGCGUGCCUAACACAUGCAAGUCGAGCGAGAGGAAUCCCUUCGGGGAUGAAUCUAGC
rnacentral:rRNA from 1 species